UACGUAGGUGGCAAGCGUUGUCCGGAGUUAUUGGGCGUAAAGCGCGCGCAGGCGGUGCGGUAAGUCUCUGGUGAAAGCGCUCGGCUUAACUGGGCGAGGGCCGGGGAGACUGCCACGCUGGAGGGGAGCAGAGGCGAGUGGAAUUCCGGGUGUAGCGGUGGAAUGCGUAGAGAUCCGGAAGAACACCGGUGGCGAAGGCGGCCCGCUGGGCAGAGACUGACGCUGAGGCGCGACAGCGUGGGGAGCAAACAGG
rnacentral:rRNA from 1 species